rnacentral:tRNA from 1 species
AGAUUAGCGCAUAAAUCUGCACCCUGGUUUCGGCCCAGGUCUUUGGGUUGAAAUCACCUACUAAUCUU